rnacentral:RNase_P_RNA from 1 species
AAAGCAGACCGCCUUAUCGCUGCUCAGUGAUGAGUAGAGGAAAGUCCGAACACCAUAGUGCAGCAUAGUGGCUAACGGCCACCGAUCGCGAGGUCAGGAAAAGUGCAACAGAAAGGAUGUACAGGUAAUGCUGUAGUGAAAUCAGGUAAACUCUAUGCGGUGCAAUGCCAUGUAUACCGGUGUUUGAGUGCUGCACGCACGAUAUCGGAGGGUAGGCAGCUAAAGUGUCAUGGCAACAUGACACUCAGAUAAAUGAUAAGGGUUUCAUGAAUUUGAAAUACAGAAUUCGGCUUACAGGUCUGCUUUUUUU